CGAAAGCCUGACGGAGCAAUACCGCGUGAGGGAGGAAGGCUCUUGGGUCGUAAACCUCUUUUGUCAGGGAAGAAGCUCUGACGGUACCUGACGAAUCAGCAUCGGCUAACUCCGUGCCAGCAGCCGCGGUAAUACGGAGGAUGCAAGCGUUAUCCGGAAUUAUUGGGCGUAAAGCGUCCGCAGGUGGUUGUUCAAGUCUGCUGUCAAAGCGUGGAGCUUAACUCCAUAUCGGCGGUGGAAACUGAGCGACUAGAGUUCGGUAGGGGUAGCGGGAAUUCCCAGUGUAGCGGUGAAAUGCGUAGAUAUUGGGAAGAACACCGGCGGCGAAAGCGCGCUACUGGGCCGAAACUGACACUCAUGGACGAAAGCU
rnacentral:rRNA from 1 species